rnacentral:rRNA from 1 species
GAGUUUGAUCCUGGCUCAGGAUGAACGCUAGCGGGAGGCUUAACACAUGCAAGUCGAGGGGCAGCACGGGAUAGCAAUAUUCUGGUGGCGACCGGCGCACGGGUGAGUAACACGUAUGCAACCUACCUCGUACAGGGGGAUAACCCGGAGAAAUUCGGACUAAUAUCCCAUAAUGAUAUUGAGAGGCAUCUUUUAAUAUUUAAAGCUCAGGCGGUACGGGAUGGGCAUGCGGAACAUUAGCUAGUUGGCAGGGUAACGGCCUACCAAGGCUGCGAUGUUUAGGGGACCUGAGAGGGUUAUCCCCCACACUGGUACUGAGACACGGACCAGACUCCUACGGGAGGCAGCAGUGAGGAAUAUUGGUCAAUGGGCGCAAGCCUGAACCAGCCAUCCCGCGUGAAGGAAGAAGGCGCUAUGCGUUGUAAACUUCUUUUCCAGGGGGAGAAUUUUUCCGUCGUGACGGGAAUUGACGGUACUCUGGGAAUAAGCAUCGGCUAACUCCGUGCCAGCAGCCGCGGUAAUACGGAGGAUGCGAGCGUUAUCCGGAUUUAUUGGGUUUAAAGGGUGCGUAGGCGGAUAGAUAAGUCAGUGGUGAAAUUCUGCAGCUUAACUGUAGACUUGCCGUUGAUACUGUCAGUCUUGAGUAUGGUCAAGGCAGGCGGAAUGUGUAAUGUAGCGGUGAAAUGCUUAGAUAUUACACAGAACACCGAUGCGAAGGCAGCUUGCUGGGCCAUUACUGACGCUGAUGCACGAAAGCGUGGGGAUCGAACAGGAUUAGAUACCCUGGUAGUCCACGCCGUAAACGAUGAUCACUCGCUGUUGGCGAUACACAGUCAGCGGCUAAGCAAAAGCAUUAAGUGAUCCACCUGGGGAGUACGGCC